rnacentral:rRNA from 1 species
AUUGAACGCUGGCGGCAGGCCUAACACAUGCAAGUCGAGCGAGCGGCGGACGGGUGAGUAAUGUAUGGGGACUGCCCGAUGGAGGGGGAUAACUACUGGAAACGGUAGCUAAUACCGCAUACUAUCGGAUAACCCAUAUGGGAUUAGCUAGUAGGUGAGGUAAUGGCUCACCUAGGCGACGAUCCCUAGCUGGUCUGAGAGGAUGACCAGCCACACUGGAACUGAGACACGGUCCAGACUCCUACGGAGGCAGCAGUGGGGAAUAUUGCACAAUGGGCGCAAGCCUGAUGCAGCCAUGCCGCGUGUAUGAAGAAGGCCCUCGGGUUGUAAAGUACUUUCAGUGGGGAGGCGUUACCCGCAGAAGAAGCACCGGCUAACUCCGUGCCAGCAGCCGCGGUAAUUC